rnacentral:rRNA from 1 species
UACGAAGGGUGCAAACGUUGCUCGGAAUUAUUGGGCGUAAAGCGCACGUAGGCGGUUCGUUAAGUCGGAUGUGAAAGCCCUCGGCUCAACUGAGGAAGUGCACCCGAAACUGGCGAGCUUGAGUACGAAAGAGGAUCGCGGAAUUCCCGGUGUAGAGGUGAAAUUCGUAGAUAUCGGGGAGGAACACCGGGUGGCGAAGGCGGCGAUCUGGGUCGAUACUGACGCGUGAGGUGCGAAAGCGUGGGGAGCAAACAGG